rnacentral:rRNA from 1 species
UACGUAGGGGGCAAGCGUUGUCCGGAUUUAUUGGGCGUAAAGAGCGUGUAGGCGGCCAGAUAGGUCUGUUGUGAAAACUCGAGGCUCAACCUCGAGACGCCGAUGGAAACCAUCUGGCUAGAGUCCGGAAGAGGAGAGUGGAAUUCCUGGUGUAGCGGUGAAAUGCGCAGAUAUCAGGAAGAACACCCGUGGCUAAGGCGGUUCUCUAGUACGGUACUGACGCUGAGACGCGAAAGCGUGGGGAGCGAACAGG